rnacentral:lncRNA from 12 species
CUUGGAAAGGAUUUUAAUCAACCAGCACACGAUUAUUUAUUUAUUUUAUUUAUUUAUUUUUCCCCCCCUUAAAUAGUUGUUUAUUGGCAGGGGGCUGGAAAGAGCAAUGGAGUUAGCAUGUACAGACAACACCACCCACCAAUGUCACGUGGGAGGCCAAAGUGAUGGGAAAGAGCAGCCUGGAGCCCCAGGUGAGGCCCUCUCUUCAAGAGUGAGUGUGGGAGGGGGCGGGGGCUGGAGGGGUGGGUGGGCAGAGUGGAAGGGGUGGGGGCUGAGGGGAAGAAGGGACAGCACUGACCUCCAAACAUCUGUCGUUUUCCUGCCGGGCCAGGACUCUUGGGAAUUCGCCUGACUCCCACUGAUGUCCGAGCUCCCCAUGGCUUCCUGUGUGUAAGCCGCACGGAGUUCUUGCCUCUGCACUUCU